rnacentral:rRNA from 1 species
AUUGAACGCUGGCGGCAGGCCUAACACAUGCAAGUCGAACGAGUGGCGGAUGGGUGAGUAAAGUCUGGGAAACUGCCCGAUGGAGGGGGAUAACUACUGGAAACGGUAGCUAAUACCGCAUACCAUCGGAUGUGCCCAGAUGGGAUUAGCUAGUAGGUGGGGUAACGGCUCACCUAGGCGACGAUCCCUCGCUGGUCUGAGAGGAUAACCAACCACACUGAAACUGAGACACGGUCCAGACUCCUACGGGAGGAAGAGAUGGUGAAUAUUGCACAAUGGGCGCAAGCUAGAUGAAGCCAUGCCGCGUGAAUGAGGAAGGCCUUCGGGUUGUAAAGUACUUUCAGCGAGGAGGCGUUACUCACAGAAGAAGCACCGGCUAACUCCGUGCCAGCAGCCGCGGUAAUUC